GAUGAACGCUGGCGGCGUGCUUAACACAUGCAAGUCGAACGAGAAGUUAAGACGGAUACCUUCGGGCGGAUGGCGUCAGUUCGAUUGGCGGCCGGGGGAGUAACGCGUGGGUAGCCUGCCACAACCAGGGGGAUAACAGGCUGAAACGACUGAUAAUACCGCAUAAGACGAUAGCACCGCAUGAUGCGGUGGUACAAACUCCGGUUGUAUGAGACGGACCCGCGUUCGAUUAGCCAGUUGGAGGGGUAACGCCACACCAAAGCGACGAUCGAUAGCCGGUCUGAGAGGAUGGCCGGCCACUUUGGGACUGGGACACGGCCCAGACUCCUCCGGGAAGCAGCAGUGGGGGAUAUUGCACCAUGGGGGAAACCAUGAUGCAGCGCCGCCGCGUGAGUGAAGAAGUAUUUCGGUAUGUAAAGCUCUAUCAGCAGGGAAGAAAAUGACGGUACCUGAGCAGGAAGCCCCGGCUAACUACGUG
rnacentral:rRNA from 1 species